UACGGAGGGUGCAAGCGUUAAUCGGAAUUACUGGGCGUAAAGCGCGCGUAGGUGGUUAUAAGCGAAUGAUGAGAACCCCGGGCUUAACCUGGGAACGGCAUUUCGAACUGUCAGGCUAGAGUAUGGUAGAGGAGUGUGGAAUUUCCUGUGUAGCGGUGAAAUGCGUAGAUAUAGGAAGGAACACCAGUGGCGAAGGCGGCACUCUGGACCAAUACUGACACUGAGGUGCGAAAGCGUGGGGAGCAAACAGGAUUAGAUACCCGUGUAGUCC
rnacentral:rRNA from 1 species